rnacentral:rRNA from 1 species
ACCUCGGAGGUCAUUGUU